rnacentral:tRNA from 1 species
GCGCCGGUGGUUCAGUGGUAGAAUUCUCGCCUGCCACGCGGGUGACCCGGGUUCGACUCCCGGCCGGCGCA